AGCGAAACCUUAGUUUUUUUGUUAAAGUUUUUUAUGAAACUGUUAUGCUAGUUUUGCAGACUGAUACCAGCUCUGUUGUUAAAGAUUUAUUUAUGUUCUGGAGUAAUAUUUUACGCGAUUGCAGGUCAUGAAGACCAGACCCUUAACUUCAUUCCAGGACUGUCCGCAAUGACCUUCCAAGACUUACCUGGAGAAAUAGCUUCCGGGAACUUGGAUUCUACCCCCUCACUCAUACUACACAAAAUGGGGCUCACACUGCCACGCGCAACUGCUAUUGUUGCCAACUCCUUUGAAGAGCUAGACCCCGUAGUAGCAACACAUCUCAAGUCCAAGCUGCCAAAGCUUCUAUGCGUGGCUCCUUCCGCCCUAACGUCCUCACCGGAUGAGUUGAAUUCUGAUGUGAAUGGCUGCCUAUCUUGGUUGGACAAGCAGAAAGCGAAGUCAGUGGCAUAUAUCAGCUUUGGAAGCAUGUUGGCACCCUCACCCGACGAGCAUGUAGCAUUGGCAGAAACGCUGCAAGCAACUGGGGUGGCAUUUCUUUGGUCUAUUAAGGACAACUUGAAGAAAUAUUUGCCGGAAGGAUUUCUAGAGAGGACGAGCGGGAAUGGAAAAGUAGUUCCAUGGGCUCCCCAGAUCCGAGUCUUAGCACACCCUUCAGUUGGAGUGCACAUCACACAUGGCGGUUGGAACUCAGUGAUGGAGAGCAUUGCAGGCGAGGUGCCCAUGAUCUGCAGGCCAUUUUGGGCUGAUAAUACUCUCAACUCGCGGGCAAUAGAGGAUGUGUGGGGGAUCGGUGUUGGAGUUCCAGGAGGGGUCCUCACAAAAAAUGGAUUAAAGGCAGCCCUAGAACAAGUUUUGGGGCAGCAAGGGAGGAUGACAGAAAAAAUUGGUGUCCUCAAAAAGCUUUGGACAAGGGCCACUGAGCCAAAUGGGAGCUCAACUCAGAAUUUCCGUACUUUGUCGAAGAUGGUGACGAAUGAAUAGGCAUAGUAGUUCAAUUUAAUGCCUCUAUGUUCUUACAUAUGCAUGCCAAUGAUGAAAAUGUAAGGGGCUUCUUUAACUUUUGCAACAAUUUUAAAAAUUAAUUAUUAAAAAAUAUAGUUGGAAAAAUAUUGAUAGAUGUACGAAAGUUUUUGACAGUUUUUAUCAUGUGAAAGAUGUUUUUUGAAAAGACACCUUUCAUAAAUUUCAAAAUUAUGGUAGAUAUUUAAAAGAACUAAAUUUAUACUAAAGGUGUCUUUUGAAAAGACUUCCACAAUUCUAUAAAAUCCAAUAUGUAUUAAAAGUGUCUUUUGAAGAGACACUUUCCACAAUUUGGCAAUUUUGAAUGUCUCAUGAAUUUGAUUUUAAAGUUAAAGAUGUCUUUUGAAGACUUUUUAGAAUUCCAAAAAAAUUUAAUUUAUACAAAAGGUGUUGCUUGAAGAGACUUUUCACAAUUCCACAAAUUCCAAUAUAUAUUGAAAGUGUCUCUUCAAGAGACACCUUCUACAAUUCCAAAAAAUUGGAUUUAUACUAAAAGUGUCUCUUGAAAAGAUACUUUCCACAAUUCCACAAAAUCCAAUAUGUAUUAAAAAUUGUAGAAAUGAUUUUAAAGCUAAAGAUGUCUCUUAAAGAGACGCCUUCAGCAUAAAAUAGAAAUUUUCCACUGUGUAUGGAAAUUGUGGAAAGUCACUUGAAGAAACUUUUCAGUAUAAACCCAAUUUUUUUUUAAAUUAUGGAAGGUGUCUCUUGAGACUUUCGUACUUCCACAAUUCCCAAAAAAUUGGGUUUAUACUAAAAAGACACUUUCCACAAUUUCCAUACACAAUGGAAAAUUUUGAAUUUAUGCUGAAAGUGUCUCUUCAAGAGACACCUUCCACAAUUCCCAAAAAAAUGGAAUUAUACUCAAACACAUUUCAUAAUUUCAAAAAAAUUGGGUUUACACUAAAAGUGUCUCUUAAAGAGACUUUCCACAAUUUUUAUUCACAGUGGAAAAUUUCAAAUUUUGAAGAGACACACCUUUCACAAUUCUCAAAAAAUGAAAUUAUACUAAAGGUGUCUCUUGAAUUGAUUCAAAGUGACAUUUGGGGACCAUCCACAAUUCCAAAUAUAUCCGGUUCUUGUUGGUUUGUUUCUGUACUAGCAUUACUUAGAUAUUCUUAAUCAAACAAAAAUCCUAUGUAAAAAGUGUUGUCCCUAACUUUCACUCCAUGAUUCAAAACCAAUUUGGGGGAUAAAACUAAAAUCUUUAGGUCUGACAAUGCAUGUGAUUAUGUCAACCAAAUUUUGACACCCUGCUUCCAAAAAGAAGGCAUUAUUCAUGAAUCAUCCUGUGUAAACCCACCACAACAUAAUGAGGUCGUUGAAUGGAAAAAUGGCCAUUUACUCAACGCUACUCAAGCAUUGUUAUUUCAAGGGAAUGUUCCUAUAUCUUAUUGGGGAGAGGUUGUUCUUAGUACCACUUACAUGAUCAAUAAACUACCCUCACAAAUAUUAGAUUUCAAGACUCUCUUGGAAACCCUUGCAAAAUUCUAUCCACAUGUCAAAACAUCAACUAGCCUCAUACCUAGAUUAUUUGAUUGUACUUCUUUUGUCCAUGUUCAUAGCCAAAAUAGAGAAAAAUUAGACCCCAGAGCAAUCAAAUAUGUGUUUCUUGGCUAUUCAUCUACACAAAAAGGGUAUAAGUGAAAUGAAGAUAUUGGAGGCUUAUAGGAAACACUUGAUGUGUUGGUGGAUAUUUAAUAUGGUAAGGAUCCUAAGGAAAAGAAAUUCUAGACUAUCUUCAGCAAUGAGACACUUUAAAGAGAUUAUGCAAGAGCUAAAUUUUCAUAAUAUUCCAUUGAUGGAGGUCUUUUUUUUUUUUUUUUUGAUAAGUCAUUGAUGGAGGUCCUUUCACAUGGUAAAGGUUUGAGACAUCUUUCUUUGUUAAGAUUGGACCGAAUUUCUUGAAUCGGAGGAUUGGGAAUACCAUUUUAGCAAAAAAAUUUCAAGUGUUUUGCUAAGAAUAGUCAUUGAUCACUUUAUUGUGUUGUUGGAUGAAGGAAUAAGAAGGGGUAAAAACCAUCUUAGAUUCGAGAUUAUAUGGUUUAAAGUGGAAGGUUCAAGGACUUUAUUAAAAACUAAUGGAAGAGAGUUAAUUUCAUGAUAUCUUUUAGCUUUGUUGUUAUCUGUAAAUUGAAAACUUUGGAGGACGAUCUUAAAGUUUGGGAUGAAUAGGGUUUGGGAAUGUGAAAGCUUGGAAGUCACAUGUCUUAGAUCAAAUUGGUUAUCAAGAUUUAAAGAAGAGAGAAGCAAUAGAAGUGUAGUAAUAGAAGAAUACAAUCAAUGGCCCAUUUUAGAAAAACUUCUCGGAUGGAAAAGUCUAGAGAAUUGCAAACAAAGGAUGGAGAUAAAAGCACCAAAUUUUUCCACAAAAUAGUUAAUGCCCAUAAGACAAGGAAUGGAAUUCAAGAAUCAAGGUGAAUGGUGUUAACUCAUAGAGGAAUCAGAGAUAAAUGAGUAUCAAAUUCUUUUUUUUUUUUUUUUUUUUUGAAAUUUAGGGAUUGGAGACCUAGCAUUCGCAAAUGUCUUUUAACACUUUAGACAGGAGGAAUAAGUGUUUUUUGCUUUAUCUAGGUUGAGUAGAAAACAAAGACCUAGAGUUAGAUGGCUUCACCAUGUCUUUUAUUCUAUGAUGUUAGAAUAUUGUAAAGUAUGAAGUAAUGGGUUUCUUUAGGGAGUUUCAUGAGAGGGACUUUUUUUGAGAAAAGCUUAAAUGCCACCUUUUAUCAACCAAAAAAUGGGUAUGAACUAAAGGACUUCAUAGGUUAACUCAAUAAACUUCAUAUGUCCAUGCCAUCUUUCUAAGCUCCUUUACAACCCUAAGAAAAAAGGAACGGAAGACUUAACAGGACUUCAUACCCAUUAGUUCAACAGUGGGCUAGUAUAAACUACUAGGUAAGUUUAUGGCCGAUUAGCUCAAGAAAGUGAUAGGGAGAGUGCUCCCAAUGCUCAAAAUGCCUUUAUGAAGAGUAGACAAAUCUUGGAUGUGAUGCUUAUUGCAAAAGGUGAUGGAGUCAAGGUUGAAGAGCUCUAGUGGGCAGUGGUUUGUAAGCUAGAUGUCAAGAACACCAAUGACCAUGUUAAUUAGGUAUUUCUUUUCAGAAAAUCUCAAUAACAUCAAUUUUGAGCAUGAGUAGAUCUAGUAGACUAAGUGGUGUAUAUCAACUACUAGGUUUUUAAGGUUGGUGAAUGAUGCUCCUAAUUUUCUAUAAAGCUAUAGGGGUUGAGGUAGAGGGAUCUCUUAUCUCCCUAUUUAUUUGUCUUAGCAAUAAGGGCACUUAGUUUUUUUCUCAAAAAGGAUGAGGUAAGGUGGUUUCAUCUUUGGUUUAAGGGGGGAGGGAAAGGUGGCAAAGGGGUGAUGGAAUCUCAUCUUUUAAUAGCGACAUUCCCAUCUUCUAUGAUUUAUGCCAACAACAACUAAUAUAUUUACAUUAAACUCUCAUGUGGUUUGAGAUAGUUUCUAGGUUGAAAACUAAUAUAAAGAAAAGUGUUUUAAUUCUAGUAAGACGGUCUCUAAUGUGGAGGAAUUAGAUUCUUUGUUAGGUUGUAGGAUGGGUGAGCUCCUCAUCAUCUACUUGGGUCUUUUGUUGGAACCUCCUUAAAAUUUUCGAUGAUUUAGAAUGUUGUAUAAGAGAGAUUCUACAAAAGCUUGCUUUGUGGAAGUGGCAAUAUCCAUCAAAUGGUGGAAGGCUUAUAUUGAUUAGCACUCUAUCUAUUGCCAAUAUAUUUUAUGUCUUUGUUUGUCAUUUAAAAAAAUGUGAGCUUGAAACUUUAGAAGAUCCAAAGAUACUUCCUUUAUGGUAUGGAGCCCUUGAGAAAAAAAAACUUCAUUUUACAAGAUGGUUGAUUUCUUGCAUGGACAAAAAGAAAGGAGGGUUUAGCAUUAGAGACUAGCAGUGCAACUUAGGUGGGUUCAACCCAACCUGAUUUUGGACAAGCUUAUGCAACACUUUUUGCAUUUUGGUUAAGCAUGGGCAAAAAAAAAAAAAGUUAACCUAAAUUUAAUUUAGGUUAGGACAUCGUGCAACAUGAACCCAACUUGAACCCAAACUAAGUAUAAUAAUAAUAUUUAUAUAUUUAUAAUUUAUAUUAUUUUUUUAUAAUAAUAUUCUAUUCAAUUCCUUUCAAAUGAUAAUUUAACUAUAUUACAUAUUAUUUUAUUUUCUUAUAAAGAUAAUAAUUUUUUAUUAUCUUAAAAUGAUUUAUUAUUUGUUAUUCAAAAUUUUGGAAUAAAUGUAUAAAAUAUAAAGUUAAAAAAGUUAUUACAAAUGGGUUCAACUCCAUCCACCUUGAAUUUGUCUCAUAGAACCCAAACAAUUGUCUAACCUAAGGCAAAUCCCUAUCAACCCAAGUCUAACCUAAACUUAACCUAAGCUUAGAAAAAUAAGGAUGGAUUGUGUUUGGGUUAAAGGUCAGGUUGGGGUUGGGUUUGGGUUGCAAACUACCCCAAGUCACAACCCUAUUAGAGAUUUAUUUGUCCUUGGCAAGGCUUUGCUUGGCAUAUGUUUUUAGGUUUGCCUUUCAAAGGGAACCUCUAUGGACCCUAGUUAUAGUGGAGUAGUUUAGGGAACAAGCAAGUGGUUGAGUAUAGGGAUGGAUUGUGGAAACAAAUAGGGAGAUGAUAGUUAGUAUUUAAAAGUAAAGCCAAUUUUGUUAUGGUAAGAGUGAAGUUCUAAAAUGGUAUUUAACAUGGGAAUAUCCAUUGAGUCUCUCUUUCCCUUUUUCUUUGCAAUUUCCAACUCAACUAAUGCUUAGGUCAAGAAUGUUUGAGAAUAUUUAGGUGAGGGAGGGCAUUAGAGACCUUUUUUAUCUAAAUGUGACCGACCGGUCCAAUCCAGUUUUUAAAACGAUGAUAAUUACAUGGUUGGUGGUAGAAUUCAAAAUAAUCUUGACUCCAAGAAAUAGUGUUUGUUGAAAUUUGAUGUUUUAAUGUGUGUUCAACGAUAGAUUGCAUUUUUCUAAAUCAAAUAAUUAGUCUUAAUAAAUAGUUAAAGACAUAUUAUUACACCCAAGGAGGAAAAUGUAGGGAUAUAUCACCGAUAUAUCGUGUAUCGGGAUGGGUCGAUAUGAUAUUUCGUGGAAAAAAAUCGGAGAGAAGAUAUUUCCACAAAAAUCGCCAAAAUAUCGGCGAUAUAUUGGCUCGGGGAGAUAAAUCGGCGAUUUUGUGAAAAAAUCAUCUCUGAUGGCAAUAAAUUGCCGAUAUAUCGGUGAUUAAUCAAAGAUAAAUCGUCGAUUUUUUGGCGAUAUUUCCCCUCCUUCAUGCAGCGUGAUCUGAUAGCCCAGAUCACGCUCAUGUUGAUCCAACGACCUAGAUGUGAUUCCAACAGUAAUUGAUUACUACUCAAAAAGUGCUAUUUCAUAGCUUGUAAUUAACUCUUUUAAACACUUUUGAGUAGUAGUUAUCACCUUUUAACCCAAUUAACAUAUUAAGGACCCUUGCAAUCAAUUCUAAUCAAAUUGUGUUAAAUUUUGGUGUUUUGAUAGCUUUUUGAUCACCAAAGCAAUCCGAGAUUGAGGAGAGUUCUUUGGAAUCCAUGACAAAAGAUAUCCGGACAGGGCGUCCGGACACACCAUCGGAGGGCAGCGGAACGUGGGCUGUGGUAGGUUGUCGAAAUGACGUAGCAAGGCUUGUGCACUUUAGUCAAUGAUCCGGACAACACAUCCGGAAUUCUACUCCGCCGACAUUCCACCCGGAUGUCUCACAUCCGAAAUUCUAACGCCGGAUGGGAGAAGAGGGCGUUUCAACUUCCCCAGUCAGACAUAUCCGGAUCCUUUGAUAGCGCUUACCCGAAGAGUUUCGCAGCCAUUUUGCACAGUGUCGCGGUGUUCUCCUGAAGCUUCCAGAUAUUUGCAACCGACAUUUUGAGAUAUUUUGCUUUAGAUAUUUGAUGUUUAAAUCCCCAAACUCUCCUUGUAACCCACCAAUUAUAGGAUUCCUUAGUUAUUAAGUUUGGAAAAAGGGUGAAUAACCCCUUAUAUAUAGUUUGUAAUCUUCUUUAGAUAGAAUAUCAAAAUCUCGGGAGCUUGUUCUCAGAGACUAAUCCUUUGUAUAGUUUUGGAAGGAAGUAAAAUACAGAGCACUUGCUCUGCUUUUCAUAUAUAUUUUUGUUUUCUCAUUAUUUUUCUUUCUAGCCAAUCAAACUCUGAGGAUUUUUCCUCAGAGGAUGAGAGGCUAAGCUCUUCGUCUCUUAGAGUAAAGAAAGCCGGGUAAGUUUCCACAUGCAUAAAUUGGAAGUUUUGUUGUUUUAGUUUUUAAUGAAGAGAAAGUGUGACCCGUUAAUGGUUUUUAUCUUUUUAGUUAACUUAAAACACCUUUAAAUCACCUGGGCCAACACUUGGUAAGACAAGUGAUCUCCGUCCAUUGAGAUGCACUAGUUUACCUCUUGCGAGCCUUUGGAAGGUGGUUUGAAGGUAGGAUUUUCUAUAAUAGCCAACACUUGGUAAGCUUUUGGACUCCAUGGAAACAUCCAUUAGUUAUCUCUUGCGAGCUUUUGACGGGUAAUCCAAGGUUAAAGAUCACUUUGAAUGACAAGUGCUAGGUAAGAGGCACGAGUCAUUGUAAGAUGCAUCAGUGAGAGGGAUUUAGUGUUUGAACCCAUUAAGGGGAAGCAUCUGUACCACACCGGUUAGAGAAUUAACUAUAUGUUAAUUCUUUAAUGCGAGGAAAAGAAACAAGUGACCGGAACUCCCUUUUUGUACAAGGAACCUGAGCCUAGUGAUCUAAACUCCAAGAAACACUUUUCUUUGUAAGUAAAAUCAGUUACUAUUUUUGGUUAGUUUAAAACAAAACCUUUUUCCACCAAAGAUUAUGUUUUCUUUUAAAGCUAACCUUGAAAUGAAAAAGCACCAAUUCAACUUUGAAUUAAUAUCAAUUGUGAAGUGAAAACCCAUUCCAGUGAACGAUCCUAGAGUCACUAUGUUAUAGUAGCUUUAUCUUUGCUACCCUAGUUCAUGGUGUAAUAGGAUAUAAAUUUUGUUGAUUACUCCCUCAAUCAAGGAGCACCAACUGGACAUGAAUCAGCUGAUACACCAAUUGGGCACGAAUCAGUAAUAUAGCAAUCCAACGGCCAAAUUGCUCCCAGUUUUUUAUCCAACGGCUAAAAUUGAUUUUCAACGGUAAAUUAAUAUUCCAACGGCUAUUUUGGCCCAAAUUUCUUAUAUAAAUAGCCCAAAUUUCAUCCAUUUCAUCCAUUUUUGCUUUCAUUCUUCAUUUGCUCUCUCAUUACUCCAAUUUUUAUUAAGGUUUCUCAAUUAUUCAAUCAUUUAAAGGUAUUUUGUUUUAAAUUGUAAUUAAUUUUGUUUGCAAUUGUAAUUAAUUCAUGUAUUUUCAAUUAAUUAGUAUGUUUGCAACAUGGAUGAUUUAAUGCUAUUUCUACAUUCAAUUGUAAUUAAUUUUUAUAUUUUUAUUAAAUUAACUUAGGUUAAUUUGAUUAUUUAAUUAUAAAUUGAUAUGUUUAUUUUAGAUGAUUAUUUGUGAUUUAUUUUCACAUUUAGAAUUAAAUUAAACUAGUUAACUUAGCUAAAUUAUUUAAUUAAUUUAAUUAACAUGUUAAAUUAUUUAAUUAGUUUAAUUAACAUGAACUAGUAUAUUUUGAAUAUGAAAUUAGUUUAUUUAAUGAAUUUAAUGUGUACAAAUUAUCAAUAUUUAAUGAAAUGAAGUAUUUUAUGUGACUUUAUAAUGAGAACAAUUACAAAACUAACAUUUCUUAUAGAUCGACAUGAUAUAAUUACAUCUAAUAUCGCAAAUUAUAUCAUAUGUAUAUCAAAUUUUUCAAUAAAACAACUUUAAAAUAUCUAUUAUACUUCUAAUUAUAUUAUUAUGAGAUUUUCCUUACAUUUCCAUGAGUUUUUAAUAAUUAUAAGUCUAUUUCCAUCCCUGGUUUUGAUCCAUUUUGCCCUAGUUUUCUAUUUCCCACGUCCCAAUCAGAUUAUCACCAAUUUUCAUAAUUCUCAAAGCCUCACUCCAAAACAAAAUCAAAUCAAACGUGCUUCUUUUUUUCUCUCUUUCUCUUUGCCUUUUACACCGCCAUAUACAGGGAGACUUCAUUUUAUAAUGUGUUUGGAAUUCAAAUUUUUGCAUAGGUUGUGAUUCAUUUAGUUUGCGAAGAAGGAGAUUUUUAGAGUUACGAAUAAGAUUUUUUCUUGUUUUCAUAUAUUUUUUCUUUCAUUUUGUCUUUUGUUUUUUCUAUUCAGUUCCUAGAAAAUGUAAGGGAAGAGUUGUUGAAAUCUAUGACCCUAAAUUUCAUUAUUGUGGUGUUUCUAUGCACCUUUGUAUGCUUUGUUGAAAUUUGCAAGGUUAAAUUUAUUGUUAUUGUGUUUUAUAUGCACAUUUGUUUGGUUAUGAAGAAAAUUGGGGAAAUAUAUAUUUUUUUUUCAUGUUCUCUCAUCGUAAUUUAAUCUAUUUAUUUUCCUCAAAAAAUAUGGGGCAAUUAUUGCAAGUUAGAUUUCUGGUGUUGGGAUUUUCCUUUUUAUUCUUCCUCUUCUCCAUUUUUUUAAAAUCUUUUCAAACAAUUUCUAGGUUGAGUUUUGUAGGAAAAUACAACAUUAUUUGGUAUGCUUGCUUGGUUACCAAGAAAAUAUUAGAAAACUAAACAAUUUAAACACAAAGCAUAAAAAUAACAUGGAAUAGUGGAAAAGAACAAGUACAUGGAACAUGAUGAAGGUGAGACAAAAAAUCAGGAUGAUUUGUUAAAUUUAACAAAUGUUGUACAAGUGUUCACACAAUAUAUCAAGGUGGGAUGAGUGUUUCAACAACAACAAUCCAACUUUUCAGGAGGAAUGACAGUUUGAUAAUAGUAAAAAUAAUAAAUAAAAAAUGAAACAAAGUUACAACAAAACUCUACAUUUCAGCUUUUAUAAUAUAAAGAUAUUUAGCAUUAUUUUAAUAUAAUAACUUUUACAUAUAACCACUUCUCAUGGGUUAUAUUAAAAAAAAAAAAUUAAAAUUGAAAUAUGGACAAUUUUUACUACCUUGGGUUUUAGCCUAUUUAAAGUAAUUUUCAUUCUCGUCUCCCCUUAAAGUAUAAUUUUCCCUAAAUUAUAUUGGCAUAUCUGGAAUAAGAGAGGUAUCAAAAUCUUGACAAAAGAACUUCUCAUUCUCCUAAUAAUAAUUUAAAAAAAAAAUUAUUCCUAAAUAAUCAAUUCUAAUAUGGUAAUUAACAAUGGAAAAUAAAAUGGAUUUCCUAUUAUCAUUUUCUUUUCCAUGCUCAUCUAAACCAUGGAUGAUGGAAUCACUAAAUUAUAACAAUUAAGGCUCAUUUUCCAUCCUAGUUGAGGUAUGGUAUUACCAUAAAAAAAUUUCUUUCUCCAAAAAAGAUUAUCAUUCCAAACAACUACAAAAUAUCAAACGCUAGAUUUCAACUUUAUCCUCUCAUCAUCAACAGAUAUGAGGUUUAAAGCAAAAGAAGAACAAACCAAAUAAGAGAAAGAAGAUAAUUAAGGAAAGGAAUCAUGGUAAGCAAGGAAAAAGAAACACACAAUGGAUGGCAGUGAAAUUAAGCAACUAAUUUAGGCUUCCACAUAUUUUCAAGUCAGCUGUUUGGACAAUUUGUUUGUCUAUCUUCUUCAUUCAAACAGAUCCUCACCAAUAUCUUCAAAAACUACGCCUCCAUGGACCAACACAUUGGUGUCUAGGCCUUCCCCUUCACCUCCCAUCCUCAAACCCUGCUCGGACUUGUCCGCAGGCUCGCAUUUGCAGCGCCCCACACAAAGUUCUCCUUCUUCAGUACCGCAAACUCCAAUGCCUUCCUCUUCUCCACCCAAAGCGCCGAUGGCCUUAAUAAUGUUAAACCCUACGACGUGGUGGAUGGGGUGCCGGAGGGCCAUGUGCUUUCCGGGAACUCUGAAGAGGUUGUUGGGUUUUUCUUGAAGGGGGCGGUUGGGAACUUUAGGCAGGCUAUGGAAGUGGCGGUGGCGGAUACCGCGAGGAAGAUUAGCUGCUUGGUCACCGAUGCGUUUUUAUGGUUCGGUGCGGAUAUGGCCGAGGAAAUGGGGGUUCCAUGGGUGCCGUUUUGGAUAGCUGGCCUUUCUGCUCUCUCUGUCCCCUUUCAUACUGAUGCCAUAAGGCAAAAAAUAGGACUUAAUGGUAAGUGAAACCUUGGUGUUUUUGUUGAAUUUAUUGUGAUAUAUUUUUGCAGAUCCUGAUAUAUAGUAUGGGUUACAAUUUAUGUGUUUGUUCGUCUCGGUGAAUGAUACUUGAACCUGAACCUAUGAAUCAUGUGUUUCAUCCCCUAUUACCAAAUCAUUUCCUUCUUCCUAGACUGGUGGGUAAAUGGCUUCUCAUUUAUGGUGGUGUUGUUCAUUGUAAAUUAUUGGUAAGAAAAGCAUUUUCCUUCCUCAUGGAUUCAUCUCAACAACCACAAUAACACAAAUUGAAGGGUUGCAGGGCAUGAAGACCAAACCCUUGACUUCAUUCCAGGAUUGUCAGCAAUGCGGGUUAGAGACUUACCUGAAGGAAUAGUUUCCGGGGACUUAGAUUCUGCCCCCUCACGCAUGCUGCAUAAAAUGGGGCUCUUGCUGCCACGAGCAACUGCAGUUAUCGCAAACUCCGUUGAAGAGCUAAACCCCAUAGUUGCAACCGAUCUCAAGUCCAAGCUCCCAAAGCUUCUAUGCUUGGCUCCUCCUACCCCAUCAUCACAGCCAGCAUCCAAUCCCGAUACGAGCAGCUGCCUCUCAUGGUUGGACAAGCAGAAAGCAAAGACAGUAGCAUAUAUCAGCUUUGGAACCAUAUUAUCCCCAUCCCCAGAUGAGCUAGUAGCACUAACAGAAGCCCUAGAAGCAACUGGGGUGCCAUUCCUUUGGUCAAUUAAAGACAACGCAAAGAAAAAUUUGCCAAAAGGGUUUCUAGAGAUGACAAGCGGAAAGGGAAAAGUAGUUCCCUGGGCUCCUCAGAUGCAAAUUCUGAAACACCCUUCAGUUGCAGUGCAUGUGACGCAUAGUGGUUGGAACUCAGUGAUGGAGAGCAUUGCAGGCGAGGUGCCCAUGAUCUGCAGGCCAUUCUUUGCGGAUAAUAGUCUCAACUGUCGAGCAGUGGAGGAUGUAUGGGGGAUUGGUGUGGGAAUUGAGGGCGGAGUCUUCACAAAAAGUGGAUUAGUGAGUGCCCUGGAACAAGUUUUGUUAGGCGAAGGAAAGAAAAUGAGAGAAAAAAUUGGAGUACUCAAAGAGCUUUGUAGGAAGGCUGAUGAACCAAAUGGGAGUUCAUCUCAAAAUUUCAAUACUUUGCUAGAGCUUGUCACAAAAUUUCAGAUGGAUUCAUCUGCCAACUAGUAGUUCAAAUAAUAUUUUGGUGUUUCAAUCAAGUACUGACCAUGGAAUAAGAUGAUGAGAAUUCAUAAAGUUGCAUAAUAUGUAGAAGUAUAUAUAUAUAAAAGCUGGUGAAUUAGGUGUGUUCAUAUAACUUAAUUCUUCUUGUGCUAAUAUUUAUCAAGAAGGAGAUUUUUAAUUUUUAAUUUUUAUUUCUAAUUAAAUAAAUUUCUUUUUUAAGGCUUUAUUUUCUUGAAAUAGUUUGGUGUUAAAAAACGUGAAAAAAUAAUUUAAAAAAUGAAAAUUGAGAAAUCUUGUUUGGAAUUGAAUUUUUUUUAUAUGGAAAAAAUCAAAUUGUAUUUGUUGAUUUUUUUUUUAAAAAAAAUUUCUUCUUAAUAAAAAAUAGUUUAUCUAUGAUUAACAAGGAAAUUAGUUAAUUGUGUUCAUUUGUUUGUUACUGAUUUUUAUACAUGAAAUAUAAUUAAAUAAUAAAAUUAUAUUUGUUCAUUAUUCUUUUUUUAUUUUAUUUUCUCUAUUAGUUAUUUUGAUAAUGCAAUAGAAAAUUUUAAUAUAUCUCUAAUUAAUAAAGGCAUUGGCCAAUUGUAUAUAUUUUGAUAUAUUAAAAUGAAAUAUUUUUUAAUAAAAAAACAUCAUAUUAGUGAUUGAGAAAAAGGGGAGAAGAUUAUAAUAUGGUAAUAUUGUUGAGUGUUUUCACUUUUUAGAAAAUCGUUUCCAUUUUUCUUAAAAAAAAAAAAUUGAAAAUACCACGUUUGUUUUUUCACUUUUUCCAUUUUUUUUAAAUUGGUUUAAAAAAAAAUAGAAAAAAGGUUAAAUAAAAACUUAAGAAAUUUGUUUUUUCACUUUUUCCAUUUUUUUGAAAUUGGUUUAAAAAAAUAGAAAGAAGGUUAAAUAAGACCUUAAGAAAUUUCAACAAAGAGCUAUUUUUAUUGUUUGCAAUGGGACAGAGAGAAAAAAAAAACCUUUUUGUACAAAGAUGAAACUUUUUGCAGAAAAUAAUAUAUUAAAAUCAAAAUUUUCUAUUUUGUAAAUAGAAGUUGAUAUAAUAACUUUGUAAUCUAUGCUGAUCAUUGUUUUCCCAAAAGGAAGUCCACACCUUACUACUAGAAGUGGUAAAAUGGUGAAGAAAGAAAGUUGGGUUUGCAAAAUAAACCUACCAUAAAUGAUAAGAAAAUCAUUUUUAAAGAUGCAACUUGUAAUGACACUUGAUUCGUACCAAUUGUACAAUCAAACAUUUCAUUGACUCUUACCAAAAUUAAAAGAAAUAUUGGUGACUAAUUGAUUAAUUGACUCUUACCAAAAUAUGGAAAUAUUGGUUAACAUAUCUAACCUAGAUUAUUAUAAUUUUCUUUGAAAAUCCUAAAGAUAAAAUUGACUAAUUGAUUGGUGACUAAAAUGUUUAUUAUUAAAUUCUCACAUAAGAUAUUUACUUUCUCAUGUUUUGUCCUUUUCUUUAGCAUAAUACAUGUCAUAUUUGCUAAUACAUAUCUAUGUUUUACUUGUAUAUAACAUCAAUUGCUUAAUAAAUAUAUUCCAAGACAUUUGUCAAAUUUAUUGUGCUGCAUUGGUAAAAUUGAUGUUUUUACCAUAUAUAUCAAGUAGCAAAAACCUACUUAAAAGUUUAAGAAGAGUUUGUGCUAUGUCACUAGUGGCACACAAAUCUAUAUGAAUGAUAUUUUGCAUUCUAUCAAAUCCGGAAGAAUUUGACAUGACCAACUUGCUUUGUCGAGGUGAACAAUGAUGAAUCAACUUCUUGCAAUGUCAAAAAAUGACCAUUAACAACUAGAAGUUUCUUCAACUAGUGAUUAGUUUAUUUAAACCCUUGAACAGUAUUAUUACAUGUUAUGCAAAUUACUAAUUUAAUGAAACAAGUUCUUACCAUUAGGGGGAGACAAGUUGAUUACAACAUAAUGACAUGAAAUUUCAAAUAUGAGUUAAUGUCCUUGAAGGAUAACUAACAAAUAGUACAACAAAUAAAUCUAAAACUCACUAAAGUGUAAUAAUUUGAUGUCUUAGUAGGAUAAUCAACCACUAUAGUGACAAAUGAGUCUAAGAUAAGCUUGAAGCAUGGAGGACUUAACAACUUAGAAUAUGUAUUCUUUAGAAAGAGAAAGGGUAUAAGGAAAGGUGUAUAUGCAUGUAACACUCUCAAAGAGGUCACAAAUUGAUUAAUCAGUCUCAAGUAGUCCCUAAAGUAGCACAGAUUAAACAAAUGGCCCUUAAAAAUGAACAAAUUAUACUAGCUUCUAAAAAGGCAUAUAUAUCUUACACAAAUGAGAUCUCAACUAGUUAUUUAUAUAUGGGGGCAAAAUGGAAUCAAAAGACCUUAUUGUUGAUAAUAUAUAUAUAUAUAUAUAUAUAUAUAUAUAUAUAUUAAAUGGGUAUUUGUUAGGACACAACCUUAGAAAGCAUAACAUGAUGUAAUGGUUUUAGAUUAAUUAAUAAAUUUGUUUAUUUAUGUUUCUUAGUUUCUCUUUAUUAUCCCUUCUACGUUAUUUGGUUAUUUGAGUUUAUAUGCUCAAUCACUUGCAUUGUACACGACUUGGGUGUAUUAGGAGUUGCAUAAAAGAUACAAGUCAUAGGUUCCUUGCAAGAUGAUAAAUUGUUUACAAUCAAUUCAUGAAUUUGGGCAAUUCAGUAGAAACUAUAAUACACUACCUUCUAAUUAGGGAAACGACUUAUCUUAGUCAUCAGGAUAUGUUUCCUAUAGUGAGUGUACUAGUAUGUAUGGUUAUAAAUUAAAUAAGACCUAUGGGGAAUCAUGACAUAAUAUUAUUGAUUGUCAUGAUUCAACAAACUAUUAUAUCGCAUGGAUUCUCAACCUUGAGAGGAUAUUGAACAUGUGUUAAAAUCAACAAGAGGAUUUGAUCUAUAGGUGAGACCUUAAUUAUAAGGAAACUCAAAUAUCUUUGUUUCUUACGCUUAGAUUAGGUUAGGAACAUGCGAAAACUUUCCUAGCUUAUCUAAAUAUUAUGCACAAUAGAAACAUGCAAAUAAAAACAAAACUAAGAUUUAGAUAUUAAAAUUAGUGUGCUUAUCUCGGAUUUGGAUGUUCCUGAAUCAAUUCCACAUGAUAAAGAAGAUCAUUGUCAUAGCAAGUCUCAUAGACCCAUGAUCUUUCACUCGAUGGCUCUCUCUUGAACUUGACACACUUCUAGUUGGGAGGGAAAAGAAAGUGGAAGUUAUGGGUCUCUUUCUCUCUAGAGGUGGAAGAUAACUCUUUUGAAUUUAUGGAAACCCUAACCCUUAAGGGGGUAUUUAUAGGGUUCCCUAACUAGGCUUAAGUAACUUGAGCCCACUAAAGGCUUGGUUCAUUUAUUCUAACAUAAAAUGGAUCUUAAUUGAUUAAUUAACCCAACAUGGUCUACCAAUUAAUCAAUUGGUUCAAUCUAGAGCCUUUGUUUACUUACCCUUAUGCAACCCUCUGUAAUUACCAAAUACCUUUAUGCACAAAAGUAAACCUAGAGUCAAUCUAACCUUCAUAGAUUAUGCUAAUAAGGUAUAUGAGCUCAAGCGGGGACCAUUGGGACUCAUAUAUAGGACAAUACUAACUCCUUCAAAAUCCAAUUUUGAAGUUUAUUCAACAUCCCACUAUGAAGAAUCAACUGUACUUUAGUACCUUAUGUAAAUAUCAACAAAACACUGUGCUCAAGUUCAUGACCUACUAUCCAUUACAUUCAGUCUCCCUAUGAACUGGUAUCCAUAAUCUUACAAGAUGAAAUAUAUUAGCCUUUCAAGACUACCUCUACUAUCAUUGAGUUACAGAUCCUCUUAUUGUGUGUUCAACUGACAUAUCUUAGCUCUCCUAAAAUUUAUAUUAAGUUACACUUAAGGAACUACUAUGGUAAUAGUUUAUAUAUGAACACAUCUCCUUAUAAUCACCCAAAGGACACUUUGUCUCAAUUUCAUGAGAUAUCAUAUGCCUCUAUUGAAAAUACCUAUUGCUAUUGACUUCCAUCAACAGUGACCCAAUUCAUAAGGAAUAUAUGAUCAACUUACAAUCUCACCCAUAGGUCAAAGUCACUCUUAACUUUAACACAAACUCAAUAUUCUCUCAAGGUUAAGAGACAACAUAAUGAAAUAAUUUGGUGAAAUCAUGACUACUUGAUAACUUUAUAUUAUGAUUCACCGUAAGUCAUGUUUAAUGUGUAACCAUACACACUAGUGCACUCAUCAUGGGAAACCUAUCUUGAUAGCCAAAUCUAGCCAUCCCUCCAAUUAAAAGAUGAUGUACCAUAACCUUUAAUGGGUUACCUAGACCCAUGAACCGAUUGUGAAUAAAUCAUCUACUUUUUGUAGGAACUUGUGACUUGGAUCUUUUACCCAACUCCUAAUGCACCCAAGUCACAUACAACGCAAGAGAUUUGGAAUUAUGAUAUAUAAAAGUGAACUAGAACUUUAUUAAUAAAUAAUAAAAUCUAAAAUUUAUUACAUCAUGUCAUGAUUUUAAGGGUUUUAUCCUAACAAUGUGGUCAUAUAUCUCUAUGGAUUGGUUCACUAUUUAUAGAGACUAGUGGUAACAAGUAUUUUCAAUAGAGGCACCACGAUAUCUCAUGGAAUUAAGUCAAUGUGUCACAUUGGGUGAUCCAAAGGACAUAUGAAAAGGAAGAUUGGUCAUAACAUUUCUUUUAGUGGAAAGUUGACAUAUGUUAUUUUUAGUUAUAGUAUGUCAAUUGAUCAUAUAAUAUGAGGAUUUAUAACUCAAGAAUUGAAAAAGUAAUCUUGAUAAGUUGAUAGUAGUACUUUGUUAGAUUAAGGACAUUAGUUCAUAGAGAAUCUGAAUGUAGUAGAUAGUAGGUCACGGACUUGAGCUUCACCUCAUUAUAAUUUUAUAGGAUACUGGAAUACAGUUGAUUUUUUUGUAGUGGAAUGUUGAACUAAUUCAAAAUUAGAUUAUGAGAGAACCAAUAUUUUCCCAUAGGUCCCAAUGGUCCUCACUUGAGUUCCUAAUUCAUGAAGACACUUUUUAUUUGAGAGAUUUAGGUUUUUGGUACAUAAGUGCAAGGUUGCACUGGAUUUUAUGAUUUGAAUUUCUGGAUUGGGUUAAUCAAUUAAUUAAAACCCAAUAGGGAUAAUUAACAAAUUAGAACUCAUGUAGGCUAGAUUAGGUUAUCCAAGCCCAAUUUGAGCUCAACUUACUUUAGCUCAUAGGGAAGUCUAUAAAUGCCCCUUAAGGAUUAGGGCUUCAAGAGGUUUUCUUAGCAUUAUGUCUUACAGAGAGCUAAUAAAAGGAAACCUUAACCUCCUUAAAGGAAGAAGAGAAAAACCCACACUUUUCUCAUGCCUAGAUCCAUGUGAGAAGAGAUUGGGUGGAAAAAUAUUAGGUAGAUGAGCUCCACAACAUUUUCGAGGACUUCAUCAUAUUAGAAUUAAUCUACGAACAUCUAGAUCAUAGGUGUGAUUUCAAUAUUCUCUAGAUAUAAUAAUAAUGGUUUUUGUUGUCAUGUUUUUCUACAACGUUGGAUUUAAAUAGCCCUAAGGAUAGUUGUGUGCAUCUUAUUGGAUUUAGGAUCAAAGAAUAGAUUAAUCCGAAGUUUCUAAUAGGAUUAACAUCAUAAGAAAUGAUGAUAACCCUAAACCACAUAAUCUAGAAGAAUUCUAACAUAGAAAAAAUUAAGCAAAAUAGAAAGAAAUUACUUGGGCAAAAUUAGAGUUGUUGGAAAAACGAGAAGUAUUUAGAUCUAUAGUUUAAAUACCUAAAAUCAUCAAACUUAUCAGAUAUAAAUGAGUUUUUUUUUUCUAAAGAAAACAUAAUGAGAAUAAUGAAAUCACAAGAUAUAAAGUACGAAUUGUUGCUCAAGGCCAAGGUUUCUCACAAAGACCUAAUAUAGACUACGAGGAAAUGUAUUCUCCCAUAAUGGACAAAAACAAAAUAAGUGGUAGAUUAUCCAACCCCCAUUUUAUAUUCCCUCUAUGCUAAGUUGAGACAUGGGAUAUAAUAUCUCAUGUACCAUAAAUUUUUUCUUCUCAUCAAUUAUUAUUAUUUUUAUUUUUUAUACUACUUAUUUUUCAAAAUAUAAAUUUUUUAUUAAAAUAAUAAAUUUAUAAUUAAAAAGAAGAAUCAAAAGAAUAUGUAUAAAAUACAUUGUAAAAUUAUAAGAAUAUAUGUAUUAUUAUAUACAUACAAAUUAUUUUAAUGUUUUCAAUAACAUUAUAUACCAUUUUUUAUUUAUAAAUUUCAUAUAUUUUAAUCAAGACUAUUAUUAACCAAUAAAUAUAAAAUUAUNNNNNNNNNNNNNNNNNNNNNNNNNNNNNNNNNNNNNNNNNNNNNNNNNNNNNNNNNNNNNNNNNNNNNNNNNNNNNNNNNNNNNNNNNNNNNNNNNNNNCUUGGCAAGGUAAUUUGAGUGGGGAAAUUGUGCGAUCCCUGAAUGAAAAGAAAAAAGAGAGUUUUUCAAAAUCACUUGAAAACCUUAAUAAAAAAAACAAUCUUGUACACCCUUGUAUAGUUAGUGUAAUACCAUUAUACAAUAAUCUAGAUUCCAUACAUUGUCUUAUGAAUAUCUGUCAAUAAGUCGAUUAACCAUGUUUGCAUUGGUUUGGUUUAAAAGAACAUGAAAAGUUGUUGUACAAUUUUGUUCCACAAUUAUCAUUAGUGGAAUAUAUAUUCAAAUAAUCAUAUAAGAGUUAGAUAAAAUGCAUAAAAUGAAUGUAUGAUUAACCAAUGUAUGUGAGGACUGUCAUCCAUCCUCGGCUAGGGGAAAUAAGCAAAUGAGUUUUUCAAAAUCACUUAAAAUCCUUCACAAAUGACAACCUUGUACACUUAGUGUAAAUACCUUGUAUAGUGGCCCAAAUUUCAUAUACCCUUCACUCAAUGUGUGUCCAUAUGUAGGUUAACUAUGUUUCCAUUGGUUUAGUUCACAAAAUAGUGGAAGACAUAAAAACAAAAAUUUUCCUCAAACAUCAUUAGUAGGGUCAGUAUUCGAAUUGUCAUGUACGAGUUAAAUAAAAGUGCAUGAGAUGAGUGUGUGAUAGAGAAAUGUGUGUCAUGAGAGUGUGCAAUCCUUAAAUGGCAAGAUAAAAAAAGAGUUUUUCAAAAUCAAUUGAAAUCAUUCAUAAAGAGUAUCCUUGUACACCCUUUGUACAGUUAGAACAUUUUGUUGUAUAGUUAGCAUAAUAUCCUUGUACAAUGAUGCAAAUUUCAUCCACAUGCAUACAUUAUGUGUCCACAUAGGAUGUGUGAACCAUAUUUUCAAUGAUUUGGUUUAAAAAAUGGUGUAAAAUGUCAAAACAAUUUUUUUCCCCCAACAUCAUUAUUGGGAUAAGUCUUUGAAUUAUUAUAUGUGAGUUAAAUAAAGUGCAUAAGAUGAAAGAAUUUGCGAUAGGAAAGUAUACAGUUCUUGGAUGACAAGAAAAAAAAAAGUUUAAAAUCAGCUAAAAUCCUCUACAAAUGGCAGUCUUGUACACCCCUUGUACAGUUAGUGUAUUUACCUUGUACAGUUAGCGUAUUUACUUUAUACAUUUAGUGUAACACCCUUGUAUAAUGAUAUAAAUUUCAUUCACAUGCAUAAAUUAUGUCCACGUGGAUGUGUGAAUUACGUUUCCAAUGAUUUAACAUUUAAAAUCAUUAAAACAAAUAAAAUGUUAUUUUAUUUUAUUUUCAAUGCAAAAUGUAAUUAAAAAUAAGACAAAUAAAUUAUUUAAAAAAUAUUAUUUAACCUAAAUUUAUUUAUUUAUUUCCUUUUAUUUUUGGAAAUAAAGAAAAACGAAUAAAAAAUUUAUUUAACCAUAAAAAAUAUAAAUAUAAGAUAUGUUAGAAAAUAGAAAUAAACCCAAUUUUAUUUAUUUAUUUCAUUUUAUUUUUGGAAUUAAAGAAAAAAAGAAUAAAAAGUUUAUUUAACCACAAAAAAUAUUAAUAUAAGAUAAAUUAGAACAUAGAAAUAACCUCAAAUUUAUGUACUUAUUUCAUUUUAUUUAUUUAAAUUAGAAAGUAAUUUAUUUUAAUAGAUCAAAAUAUGCACAAUUAAUCUAUUACUUUGUUAAUUAUAGAUAUAUUAAAAUUUUCAAUUCCAAAAAAAAAACUAAUAGAAAUAAUAAAAUUAAAAAGAGUAAUAAAUAUAUAUAAUUUAGUUAUUUAAUUAUUUUUUAUGUAAAAGACGGUAACACAAAAAAAUACACACAAUUAACCAAUUCUUUUGUUUAAUUAUAAACAUACUAUAUAUAUAUAUAUAUAUAUAUAUAUAUAUAUAUAUAUAUAUAUAUAUAUAUAUAUAUAUAUAUAUAUAUAUUAAAAUAACUAAUAAAAAAAUAAAAAUGGAUAAUCAAUAAAUGGAAUUUAACUCUUUUUAUUAUUUUCACAUAAAAAAUAGAACCAAACAAGGUUUUCAAUAUUCAUUUUUAAAAAUAGUUUUCAAUUUUUAAUUAAAGGUAUUCUCAAAAAGAGAAAAUAUAAAAAAAUAAAAAUCAUAUAACCAUAUUUUUUUAGAAGGUAUUUUUCAAAAUAGUUUUAAAAUCAUUAAUGUAAUUUUUCUUUAUUUAUAAUUUAAAAUAGAAAAUAAUACCCAAUUGUAAUUAUUUAUGAAAAAAGUUUUUAAAAACAAUGAAAAAUCCAAACCAGUGAAAUAAAAUUGUGUUGGGUAUGUGAAUGGUAGUGCAAUCAAGAUAAAAUAGUUUAAUAAAUGAUGGAUCCAACAAAAACCAACAUGAACAUGGAAUAGGUCUGAUAGCUGAGCUUAUGCAGCUGAGAAGGAAAUAUACAGAAGAGAAAAAGGAGAGUUGUUUCUCAUUAUGUCAAGAUUACAUUGGCACAAGUAUUUAUAGGCUAAGUAAGGUGGUUAGUUAAGGUGAGUUUGGAGAGGUUACACGGUUGCUCAGUUACAACUGUAUGAGAGGCAGUUAGGGUAGAAUUUGUUUGGUUAUCACAAAUGAGUAUUUUAGUCCACCACUAUUUUAUAUUAUUUUUGUUAAUUAUAGGUGAUAUAAAGACCUUGGGCCAAUUUUCAGGCCCAUCUCAUCCCAAAACACAAAUCUCCCUAUUCAAUAUAUCACUAGUGAACUUGACCCACACCCAUAAAUUUUCUCAUACGUGAUAAGAUUGAAGUUGAUUUUGUUGUGAAAGAGGGUUGCCCAAAUUCAAUAUAUUACUGGUGAACCUGACCCACACCUAUAAAUGUUCUCUUAUGCUCCAAGAAGACUGAAGUGACUAAGAGGCUAUACAAAAUCCAUGAAAAUAGUUUUAGGAAGUUCAAAUAUUAUUUCAAAUGUUCUUUUAUAAUAUUUAUGGGAGAAUCAUGUACGGGUGCACCAUCUUAAAAGGAUUACAUUUUUAAUUUUUUAAGUUUUGACUUUUGACUUUCAAAGUGCAUACAUUUAGAGGAAAAUAAUCCUCAAAAUAUGCACUUUAUUCUAGUGGUGCACCAUUUCAAAAAAAUUGCAUGUUUUUAAAACUUUGACUUUUUACUUUCAAAAUGCAUAUAUUUUGAAAAAAAAUAAUCCUCAAAAAGUCAUUAACAUGUCAAAAUUACCCUUUAACCCUCGGCUCACCAACUGUAAUUGUUACAAAUUUUCCUUUACCUUUUUUUUUCAUCAUGAUUAAUAUUUUUUUUAAAUGACACGUGGAUACCAACCAUGCCACAUAAUUUUUCUUUUUUCUUUUUUUAUCUCCUCCAUAACACCUCUUCAUUUUUGUUAAUGUGUUGGCUUCAUUAAAUUCAAUUUUUUUUGCACAAUUUCAUAUUUUCAUAUUUAUUGAUUUUAAUUAUUUAUGAACAUUUUAAACAUAAAAUAAUAUUAUACAAUAAAUCAUUAAUGAGAACAAAUUUAAUAUAAAAAUAAACAUAUAAAAAUAAAUUUAGAGAUUUAUGACAUAAGAUUUUCUAUAUUUCCUAAAAAAAUAUUUAUUUNNNNNNNNNNNNNNNNNNNNNNNNNNNNNNNNNNNNNNNNNNNNNNNNNNNNNNNNNNNNNNNNNNNNNNNNNNNNNNNNNNNNNNNNNNNNNNNNNNNNAAAAAAAUAUUUAUUUAUUUUAUAAAUCUUACCAUAUUGCCAUAUUUUUUUAUUGUUUGUAUUUUAAUAUUUUUAAAUUUUCAAGUGAUAAUCAUAAUCAAUGAUUAUGGUUUUGGCUUUUUGUUUGUAAAUCUAAUUUAACUAUUGGGAGAAUUACCGAAUAGGGUGGACUAAAUAAAAUAAUUACUGGGAAGGGUGGUCCAUUUUAAUAACCGUUAGGAAGGACAAUAAUAUGCUUAAAUACCAAAAAUGUCCUUCAACUAAAAGCUUUUAAAAUUCAAAACAUUUUAUGGUGCGUGGGCCCCAUGACAUUCAAAUUUUAAAUCAAAAAUUUGGAUUUAAUUUAUUAUAUAUAAUGAUAGUAUAAGUUGUUAUUUAAAUUUACUAUUUAAAACAAAAAAUACUUCUAAAAAAUAUUUUUUAAAUGACAUUUAAUUUUUUUUUCUUAUUUUAUUAAGAAAAAAGCAAGUUUCAUAAUUAUAUAAUAAAAAUGAUGACUUUUUCAUAUAUAUAUAUAUAUAUAUAUAUAUAUAUAUAUAUAUAUAUAUAUAUAUAUAUAUAUAUAUAUAUAUAUAUAUUUCUAAUUUUAAAUUUAAAUGAUUUUUCUAUAUUUUUUUUCCUUUGUAUAGUGUUUUUUCUUAAUUUUCAUAUAUAAUUUUUUCAUCUUUUUUUUCUCAAUACAUCGAUUGGAUGAUGUUAGUACAUAUGAUAUGUUAAAUAUUAAUGAAAUAUAAUAAAAAUAUGUUAUAAUUACAAUAUAAAUACACUUACAUUACAAUACAUUACAAUAAAACUUAAUUAGGAAAAUUUUAAACUUUUUUUUAUAAAAGUGUUAGUUUUGUAUGAUCAUACCAUAUUUCAUAACAUACCUAUAUUAUGAAUCACUAACGAAACCAAAUAAAAUACUAUUUUAAAUUCAUGAGACUUGUGAGUUUUAUAUAUAUAUACAAAAAUUAUUAAAUAAUUUCAAUGUGUUGGGUGAAUGAUGUUAAUAUACUGAUAAUGAUGUGUUAAUACCAAUAGAAUAUGAAUAAAUAUUUUUAAAAUUAUUACUUUUGUAAUGAAAUAUAAGUACGAUAUAAAUGUAUUAUACUUACAACAUAAAUACACUAAUGGUAUAAUAUAUUAUAACAUAAUUUAAUUUAUUUUUGUUUAAUUUUUUCAUGUGAUAUAUUACCCAAUGAAUAGUUACGUGUUAUUCCAUUGAACAAAUGUAUAUUAUUCGAUUGAAUAUUUGUAUAUUAGACUAAUAAAGCUGUAAGGAUUAAAAUAACAAAUUUAAACAACAUCAAAAUAUUUUUUAGAAGUAUUUUUGUUUUAAAUAGUAAAUUUAAAUAAUAAAUUAUACUAUCUUUAUAUAUAAUAAUUAUAAGGAUUAAUCUUUUGAUUUAAAAUUUGAAUGUCAAUAAUUACAAUAAAUGUGAGACUCACCCCCUAACAAAAAAUGAAGUGUUUUAAAUGCUUUGAAUUUUACAAGUUUUUAAUUGGCAUUUUUUAUGUUUAAGCCUAUCCCUAACAGUUAUAAAAAAACAUCUUAAACAUCUGGCUUCUUAUUUGUAUCAAGAAGGGUUUAUGGGCGUUAGGAAGGCUAGAAAAAGUCCCACACGUACGGUUCUUCAUUCAUUUCCAACAUUGAGUUUUUCAUGAGUCAUGCUUACCAACCAAAAAGCAAGUUUCCACCUAAUUAGAGUGAGAAGUGAAGACUGGCGGGCAAGGCGUGGCGGCCUCUGCAUCAGCAAAUUUUCAAGGAGCAGAUGGGCAAAAUCAGUAUAUAUGCACCCAGGGUACAACCCAGGAAAACACUUAUAUCAACUCCCAUGGGCAAACACAUUGGUGUCUUGGCCUUCCCCUUCGCUUCCCACCCUCUAACGCUUCUGGGGCUGGUCCGCAGGCUUGCGUCUGCAGCACCCGACGCCAAGUUCUCAUUCUUCAGCACUGCAAACUCCAACAGCUUCCUCUUCUCCGCUCGAAGCCCCGGUGGUGUUCUUGGUAAUCUGAAACCCUAUGAUGUUCCGGAUGGGGUGCCGGUGGGUCAUGUGCUGUCUGGGAACCCUGCAGAGGGUGAUGGGCUUUUCUUGAAGGAAGCACCUGCGAAUUUUAAGCGGGCCAUGGAAGUGGCGGUAGCGGAGACUGGGAGGAAGAUUAGCUGCCUGGUGACUGAUGCCUUGUUGUGGUUUGCAGCUGAUAUGGCUGAGGAAAUGGGGGUUCCUUGGGUCCCAUUUUGGAGCGCUGGCCUCUCUGCGCUCUCUGCCCACUUACACACUGAUGCCAUCAGGCAAAUGAUGGGUGUUAGAGGUGAGCGAAACCUUAGUUUUUUUGUUAAAGUUUUUUAUGAAACUUUUAUGCUAGUUUUGCAGACUGAUACCAUCUCUGCUGUUAAAGAUUUAUUUAUGUUCUGGAGUAAUAUUUUACGCGAUUGCAGGUCAUGAAGACCAGACCCUUAGCUUCAUUCCAGGACUGUCCGCAAUGACCUUCCAAGACUUACCUGGAGAAAUAGCUUCCGGGAACUUGGAUUCUACCCCCUCACUCAUGCUACACAAAAUGGGGCUCACACUGCCACGCGCAACUGCUAUUGUUGCCAACUCCUUUGAAGAGCUAGACCCCGUAGUAGCAACACAUCUCAAGUCCAAGCU
rnacentral:lncRNA from 1 species